rnacentral:rRNA from 1 species
ACCCCAGGACCGUACCGGACAAACAGGGAGUCAAAACACCGAGAAGCGAUGAGGGAUAGACCGCCUCGGCGGAAAGUCAAACUGAGUGAUUCUAUGCUUCCGAGAAAAGCUGCGGGCCGAGCAUUCCGGCUGUCCGUACCGCAAACCGACUCAGGUGGGCGGGAAGAGUAUUCCAAGGCGUUUUGAGAGAACCGUGGUUAAGGAACUAGGCAAAUUGACACCGUAACUUCGGGAUAAGGUGUGCCUCCGAGGUGGAGCUGAACAGGCCGAGCCAGAAGAGGUCGCAGAGAAUAGGGGGUAGCGACUGUUUACCAAAAACACAGGACUGUGCGAAGUCACGAAGACGACGUAUACGGUCUGACGCCUGCCCGGUGCUGGAAGGUUAAGAGGAGAGGUUAGAGCAAUCGAAGCUUUGAAUCGAAGCCCCAGUAAACGGCGGCCGUAACGAUAACGGUCCUAAGGGUAGCGAAAUUCCUUGUCGGGUAAGUUCCGACCUGCACGAAUGGC